UGGGGAAUCUUGCGCAAUGGACGAAAGUCUGACGCAGCGACGCCGCGUGAGUGAUGAAGGCCUUCGGGUUGUAAAGCUCUGUGGAGGGGGACGAAUAAGUGUCGUCGAAUAGGCGGCAUGAUGACGGUACCCCUUUAGCAAGCACCGGCUAACUCUGUGCCAGCAGCCGCGGUAAGACAGAGGGUGCAAACGUUGUUCGGAAUUACUGGGCGUAAAGCGCGUGUAGGCUGCUCGGAAAGUCGGAUGUGAAAGCCCUGGGCUCAACCCAGGAAGUGCAUUCGAAACUUCUGAGCUUGAGUUUCGGAGAGGAAGGCGGAAUUCUCGGUGUAGAGGUGAAAUUCGUAGAUAUCGAGAGGAACACCGGUGGCGAAGGCGGCCUUCUGGACGGUGACUGACGCUGAGACGCGAAAGCGUGGGGAGCAAACAGG
rnacentral:rRNA from 1 species